rnacentral:tRNA from 1 species
GGGGUGGGCAGUGGCUCAGUGGUAGAGCAUCUGCUUGGGAUGCAGAAAGUCCCAGGUUCUAUCCUCAGCAUGUAAGUGCCCCA